rnacentral:rRNA from 1 species
GAUAAGAUGAUCUUUUCGGAGUGAAUCUUUGCUGACGAGUGGCGGACGGGUGAGUAAUGCUUGGGAAUCUGCCCAAUAGUGGGGGAAAACUCGGGGAAACCCGGGCUAAUACCGCAUAAUCUCUACGGAGGAAAGAGGGCCUCUACGUGUAAGCUCUCGCUAAUGGAUGAGCCCAAGUCAGAUUAGCUUGUUGGUAAGGUAAUGGCUUACCAAGGCUACGAUCUGUAGCUGGUCUGAGAGGAUGAUCAGCCACACUGGGACUGAGACACGGCCCAGACUCCUACGGGAGGCAGCAGUGGGGAAUAUUGCACAAUGGGCGCAAGCCUGAUGCAGCAAUGCCGCGUGUGUGAAGAAGGCUCUAGGGUUGUAAAGCACUUUCAAUAGAGAAGAAAAGCUUGAAGUUAAUAUCUUCAAGCCUUGACGUAACCUAUACAAGAAGCACCGGCUAAUUCCGUGCCAGCAGCCGCGGUAAUACGGAAGGUGCGAGCGUUAAUCGGAAUUACUGGGCGUAAAGCGAGCGUAGGCUGUUAAUUAAGUCGAAUGUGAAAAUCCCCCGGGCUCAACCUGGGAACUGCAUUCGAAAACUAUUUUGACUAGAGUAUGGGAGAGGAAAGUAGAAUUUCCGGUGUAGCGGUGAAAUGCGUAGAUAUCGGAAGGAAUACCAGUGGCGAAGGCGGCCUUCUGGAACAAUACUGACGCUGAGGUUCGAAAGCGUGGGGAGCAAACAGGAUUAGAUACCCUGGUAGUCCACGCCGUAAACGAUGAGAACUAGAUGUUGGAAGGAUUGGCCUUUCAGUGUCGCAGCUAA